rnacentral:misc_RNA from 1 species
AACGCACAUUGCGCCCCCUGGUAUUCCGGGGGGCAUGCCUGUCCGAGCGUCAUUGCUGCCCUCAAGCACGGCUUGUGUGUUGGGCCCCCGUCCCCCGGGACGGGCCCGAAAGGCAGCGGCGGCACCGCGUCCGGUCCUCGAGCGUAUGGGGCUUCGUCACCCGCUCUGUAGGCCUGGCCGGCGCCUGCCGACACCAUCAAUCUUUUUUCCAGGUUGACCUCGGAUCAGGUAGGGAUACCCGCUGAACUUAA